AACAAACGCUGGCGGCGUGCCUAAUACAUGCAAGUCGAACGGGGAAAGCUUUCGGGUGAGUACUAGUGGCGCACGGGUGAGUAACGCGUGGAUAAUCUGCCUUAGAGUGGGGGAUAACUAGUCGAAAGAUUAGCUAAUACCGCAUAAGACCACAAGAACUGCGGUUCAAGGGGUCAAAGGUUUUUCGCUCUAAGAUGAGUCCGCGUAAGAUUAGCUAGUUGGUGGGGUAACGGCCUACCAAGGCGACGAUCUUUAACUGGUCUGAGAGGAUGAUCGGUCACACUGGAACUGAGACACGGUCCAGACUCCUACGGGAGGCAGCAGUAGGGAAUAUUGCACAAUGGAGGAAACUCUGAUGCAGCGACGCCGCGUGAGUGAUGAAGGCCUUCGGGUCGUAAAGCUCUGUCGCAGGGGAAUAACACAAUGAAGGUACCCUGUAAGAAAGGAUCGGCUAACUUCGUGCCAGCCGCCGCAGUAACAC
rnacentral:rRNA from 1 species